rnacentral:rRNA from 1 species
CGGACGGGUGAGUAAUGUCUGGGAAACUGCCCGAUGGAGGGGGAUAACUACUGGAAACGGUAGCUAAUACCGCAUAACGUCGCAAGACCAAAGAGGGGGACCUUAGGGCCUCUUGCCAUCGGAUGUGCCCAGAUGGGAUUAGCUAGUAGGUGGGGUAACGGCUCACCUAGGCGACGAUCCCUAGCUGGUCUGAGAGGAUGACCAGCCGCACUGGAACUGAGACACGGUCCAG